rnacentral:rRNA from 1 species
UACGUAGGGUGCAAGCGUUGUCCGGAAUUAUUGGGCGUAAAGAGCUCGUAGGCGGCUUGUCGCGUCGGCUGUGAAAACCUGGGGCUCAACCCCGGGCCUGCAGCCGAUACGGGCAAGCUAGAAUUCGGUAGGGGAGACUGGAAUUCCUGGUGUAGCAGUGAAAUGCGCAGAUAUCAGGAGGAACACCGGUGGCGAAGGCGGGUCUCUGGGCCGAUACUGACGCUGAGGAGCGAAAGCGUGGGGAGCGAACAGG